rnacentral:rRNA from 1 species
GAUGAACGCUGGCGGCGUGCCUAAUACAUGCAAGUCGAGCGAACAGACGAGGAGCUUGCUCCUCUGACGUUAGCGGCGGACGGGUGAGUAACACGUGGAUAACCUACCUAUAAGACUGGGAUAACUUCGGGAAACCGUAGCUAAUACCGGACAAUAUAUUGAACCGCAUGGUUCAAUAGUGAAAGACGGUUUUGCUGUCACUUAUAGAUGGAUCCGCGCCGCAUUAGCUAGUUGGUAAGGUAACGGCUUACCAAGGCAACGAUGCGUAGCCGACCUGAGAGGGUGAUCGGCCACACUGGAACUGAGACACGGUCCAGACUCCUACGGGAGGCAGCAGUAGGGAAUCUUCCGCAAUGGGCGAAAGCCUGACGGAGCAACGCCGCGUGAGUGAUGAAGGUCUUCGGAUCGUAAAACUCUGUUAUUAGGGAAGAACAAAUGUGUAAGUAACUAUGCACGUCUUGACGGUACCUAAUCAGAAAGCCACGGCUAACUACGUG